GGGUAUGUAGCUCAGUUGGUUAGAGCGCAUCGUUCACAUCGAUGAGGCCAGGGGUUCGAGUCCCUUCAUACCCACAA
rnacentral:tRNA from 1 species